GAGGGUAUAGUUCAAGUGGUAGAGCACAUGUCUAGCAUGUAUGAGGUUAUGGGUUCAAUCCCCAGUACCUUCA
rnacentral:tRNA from 1 species